ensembl:lncRNA
CAAAACUUAUUUAUUUAUUUAUUUAUUUAUUUUUGUUGGGAGCAACAUCUUUGCGAGGCAACGCUGUCUGUGUAGCUAUAGCAGCAAUUUAUUCGGUGCGUGACCCAGUGAUGACGUGGGGGAAUUUUGCCUGAUGCAAUGGAGAAUGUGAGAUGUUGACAACUUUCCCAACAGUGGCUCAUCAGCGGGAAAUAGGUGAGCACCUGACUUCUAACAGAAAGGAGUUAGUUUACCCAGCAAUUAUGUGUCUCCUAACUACUGCUUGGUAUUUAAAGAGAUGAUUUGGUGUUGAGGAAAACAGAUAUGCUUCAGAUAUGGGGCGGAUGAGGCCUCAGAUGCGUGGGUACAAUGCUGUGGGACCCAAGCCUGCUGCAGAACCUAUAAGAGCUGAAAAAAAAGCCAUACUUAGGACUGGGAGCUCACAAAUAGCCUGUCCAGAAGAAUCAUCCUGCAACCUGGUGCUUCGGAUGUGCACAUGUCAGGGAGCAGCAAUGCCAAAGCCUGGACAGCAGGAGGAAGCAAACAUAGAGCGGGGCAGGAAAAACUGGUGUUAAAAUGAUACUGGCUUUGCAAGGCAACACUCAUCAGCUACUUCACAGCAAUAGCACAGGGGGUCUCUGAGAGGAAGCUGUGUCUCUGUAGGAGGGAAAAUGAACCACAGAAUAGUUGGGGUUGGCAGGGCCCUGUGGGUCCAUGUGGCACAACCCCUGCUCCAACAGGGACAGCCAGCACAGGGAGCCCAGCAUUUUCCUUGUUGGACUUCAUGCCAUCGCUGUCACCCAGACCCCCUAUCUUUCUAUCUGGACCCCCCUAGGCCUCUCCUAGUGUUGUGGAUGCCACUGACAGCACUGCAGCACGGGGAAAGAUCUGCUCCUGCUUCCCUGCUGCCUCUCCUCGCAGGCCUCGGCCCUGGCCUGCUGCUGAGGGAGGGAGGCCAUGUUGGGCCUGCAUGCUGGGGUGCCAGGUGCCUCAGGACCGUCUCGCUUGUAGGGGACCCAGCUGGCUGUGGCGAUGCAACUGCGGUGCCCUUCUGUGGCAAAGAUAGAGAACUGCAGCCCUCUUUCAGGCUCCUUUGUGCAAACCAAGCAGGUUUGCCCUGGGCAGGAGAGCUACAAGCUGAGAUCCUUGUAAGGGCUGAGAGGUGGCAGAUGCCCACAGAGAGGGGAGGAAAGAAGGGG